rnacentral:rRNA from 1 species
AUUGAACGCUGGCGGCAUGCUUUACACAUGCAAGUCGAACGGCAGCGCGGGCUUCGGCCUGGCGGCGAGUGGCGAACGGGUGAGUAAUGCAUCGGAACGUGCCCAGUAGUGGGGGAUAGCCCGGCGAAAGCCGGAUUAAUACCGCAUACGAACUGAGGGUGAAAGCGGGGGACCGAAAGGCCUCGCGCUAUUGGAGCGGCCGAUGUCGGAUUAGCGAGUUGGUGGGGGAAAGGCUUACCAAGGCGACGAUCCGUAGCUGGUCUGAGAGGACGACCAGCCACACUGGGACUGAGACACGGCCCAGACUCCUACGGGAGGCAGCAGUGGGGAAUUUUGGACAAUGGGGGCAACCCUGAUCCAGCCAUGCCGCGUGCGGGAAGAAGGCCUUCGGGUUGUAAACCGCUUUUGUUCGGGAAGAAAUCCUCUGGGCUAAUACCCCGGGGGGAUGACGGUACCGGAAGAAUAAGCACCGGCUAACUACGUG